rnacentral:rRNA from 1 species
CGGCAACAGCUCAAAUUUGAAAUCUGGCUUCGGCCCGAGUUGUAAUUUGCAGAGGAAGCUUUAGGCGCGGCACCUUCUGAGUCCCCUGGAACGGGGCGCCAUAGAGGGUGAGAGCCCCGUAUAGUUGGAUGCCUAGCCUGUGUAAAGCUCCUUCGACGAGUCGAGUAGUUUGGGAAUGCUGCUCAAAAUGGGAGGUAAAUUUCUUCUAAAGCUAAAUACCGGCCAGAGACCGAUAGCGCACAAGUAGAGUGAUCGAAAGAUGAAAAGCACUUUGAAAAGAGGGUUAAAUAGCACGUGAAAUUGUUGAAAGGGAAGCGCUUGUGACCAGACUUGCGCCGGGCGGAUCAUCCGGUGUUCUCACCGGUGCACUCCGCCCGGCUCAGGCCAGCAUCGGUUCUCGCGGGGGGAUAAAGGUCCUGGGAACGUAGCUCCUCCGGGAGUGUUAUAGCCCGGGGCGUAAUGCCCUCGCGGGGACCGAGGUUCGCGCAUCUGCAAGGAUGCUGGCGUAAUGGUCAUCAGCGACCCGUCUUGAAACACGG